ACUACUUUGGCAGAAAAAUGCAAUAAAUUUAGAAUUUAUUUAUGUAACGAAUGUUACAGGUGGUA
rnacentral:tRNA from 1 species